GAUGAACGCUAGCUACAGGCUUAACACAUGCAAGUCGAGGGGCAGCAUGGUCUUAGCUUGCUAAGGCCGAUGGCGACCGGCGCACGGGUGAGUAACACGUAUCCAACCUGCCGUCUACUCUUGGACAGCCUUCUGAAAGGAAGAUUAAUACAAGAUGGCAUCAUGAGUUCACAUGUUCACAUGAUUAAAGGUAUUCCGGUAGACGAUGGGGAUGCGUUCCAUUAGAUAGUAGGCGGGGUAACGGCCCACCUAGUCUUCGAUGGAUAGGGGUUCUGAGAGGAAGGUCCCCCACAUUGGAACUGAGACACGGUCCAAACUCCUACGGGAGGCAGCAGUGAGGAAUAUUGGUCAAUGGGCGCAGGCCUGAACCAGCCAAGUAGCGUGAAGGAUGACUGCCCUAUGGGUUGUAAACUUCUUUUAUAAAGGAAUAAAGUCGGGUAUGUAUACCCGUUUGCAUGUACUUUAUGAAUA
rnacentral:rRNA from 1 species